rnacentral:rRNA from 1 species
CAGUCGCCGCGGUAAGACAGAGGAUGCAAGCGUUAUCCGGAAUGAUUGGGCGUAAAGCGUCUGUAGGUGGCUUUUCAAGUCCGCCGUCAAAUCCCAGGGCUCAACCCUGGACAGGCGGUGGAAACUACCAAGCUAGAGUACGGUAGGGGCAGAGGGAAUUUCCGGUGGAGCGGUGAAAUGCGUUGAGAUCGAAAAGAACACCAACGGCGAAAGCACUCUGCUGGGCCGACACUGACACUGAGAGACGAAAGCUAGGGGAGCAAAUGCGAUUAGAGACCCGCGUAGUCCCUGUCUCUUAUAC